rnacentral:rRNA from 1 species
GACGAACGCUGGCGGCGUGCUUAACACAUGCAAGUCGAACGGUAAGGCCCUUCGGGGUACACGAGUGGCGAACGGGUGAGUAACACGUGGGUGAUCUGCCCUGCACUUCGGGAUAAGCCUGGGAAACUGGGUCUAAUACCGGAUAGGACCACUGCCUGCAUGGGUGGGGGUGGAAAGCUUUUGCGGUGUGGGAUGGGCCCGCGGCCUAUCAGCUUGUUGGUGGGGUGAUGGCCUACCAAGGCGACGACGGGUAGCCGGCCUGAGAGGGUGACCGGCCACACUGGGACUGAGAUACGGCCCAGACUCCUACGGGAGGCAGCAGUGGGGAAUAUUGCACAAUGGGCGCAAGCCUGAUGCAGCGACGCCGCGUGAGGGAUGACGGCCUUCGGGUUGUAAACCUCUUUCAGCACCGACGAAGCGCAAGUGACGGUAGGUGCAGAAGAAGGACCGGCCAACUACGUGCCAGCCGCCGCUGUAACAC